rnacentral:lncRNA from 1 species
GUUACCAACUGGGGUUUUGAAAUGGUCUCUAACCAAAGUUCAUGGGAGAAGGUUUCCAUUGCAACAGCUUGGAGGAACUGCCUGAGUGAGAGAUGGCUGUAAACGCUGUUUAGAAGUGAACUGGAAAUGUGCUGAACUGGGGACUGACUCAAACGUUGAAGCCACACCACUUGAACUGCGUUCAAGGACAGAGCUGAAAUUAAAACAAACAAACAAACAAACAAACAAACAAACACUGUUGAAGGCAGUUGCAGAAGAGGGAAGACAUGAGGUGGCUGUGUGUACCAGCUUGAGGCAGCUUGCUCUGCUCUGCUCAGCUUGGAGGCUCUGCUGUCCCAGUAGGCAGCUGCACAGGGACAGAAUGGUCCUGGAUGUCAACCUAAGGAUGUGGCGUUUCCAGUCUCGUGAUGACACCUGCCUGACACUUGUUAUCAGGCGUGUGAGGCUCUGAGAAAAGGAGAAACAAGGAUGUCUGCUCGUGGAGGUGAGGGAGGCCUCAGGGAACCUCACGACAGAGUUCCACCAGGCAUGCAGUCUCACCAGAAGGUAAGGAGGUGGAAACACUACCAACAGUGGUGGACGGAGGGCACGUGUCCCCAGGGAACCCCCAAACAUGGCAUUCGGGUGAGAGAGGGGGGAG